rnacentral:rRNA from 1 species
UUAGGAAUUUUGGGCAAUGGGCGGAAGCCUGACCCAGCAACGCCGCGUGGGUGAUGAAGGCCCUCGGGUCGUAAAGCCCUUUUCCCAGGGACGAUGGUGACGGUACCUGGGGAAUCAGCCCCGGCUAACUACGUGCCAGCAGCCGCGGUAAUACGUAGGGGGCAAGCGUUGUCCGGAUUUAUUGGGCGUAAAGCGCUCGCAGGUGGCCCGUCGCGUCGUGCGUGAAAGACCCCGGCUCAACCGGGGGGCGUCGUGCGAUACGGGCGGGCUGGAGGCCAGUAGGGGGAUGCGGAAUUCCGGGUGUAGUGGUGGAAUGCGUAGAGAUCCGGAGGAACACCAGCGGCGAAGGCGGCAUCCUGGACUGGUCCUGACACUCAUGAGCGAAAGCGUGGGGAGCGAUCCGGAUUAGAUACCCGGGUAGUCCACGCUGUAAACGAUGCGCACUAGGUGUCGGGGGUAUCGACCCCCUCGGUGCCGCAGCUAACGCGAUAAGUGCGCCGCCUGGGGACUACGGCCGCAAGGCUAAAACUCAAAGGAAUUGAC